rnacentral:rRNA from 1 species
AACGUAGGACGCAAGCGUUAUCCGGAGUUACUGGGCGUAAAGCGCGGGCAGGCGGCUUCGCAAGUUCGAUGUGAAAUCUCUCAGCUCAACUGGGAGCAGCCAUUGGAAACUACGAAGCUGGAGUCUGGCAGAGGUAGGCGGAAUUCCGGGUGGAGUGGUGAAAUGCGUAGAGAUGUGGAGGAACACCAAUGGCGAAGGCAGCCCCCUGGGAUAACACUGACGCUCAGGCACGAAAGCGUGGGGAGCAAACAGG